rnacentral:snRNA from 1 species
GCCUGGAAGAUUACAGGCUU